rnacentral:rRNA from 1 species
CCUACGGGAGGCAGCAGUGGGGAAUAUUGCACAAUGGGGGAAACCCUGAUGCAGCAACGCCGCGUGAGUGAGGAAGUAUUUCGGUAUGUAAAGCCCUAUCAGCAGGGAAUAGAAAAGAAGGUACCUGAAAAAGAAGCCCCGGCUAACUACGUGCCAGCAGCCCCGGUAAUAUGUAGGGGGCAGGGGUUAUCCGGAUUUACUGGGUGUAAAGGGAGCGUAUACGGAAAGGCAAGUCAGAAGUGAAAGCCGAAGGCUCAACCAUGGGACUGCUUUUGAAACUGUCGAACUAGAGUACGAGAGAAGUAAGAGGAAUUCCUAGUGUAGCGGUGAAAUGCAUAGAUAUUAGGCGGAACCCCAGUGGCGAGGGCGUCUUGCUGGCCCGAAACUGACGUUGAGGCUCGAAAGUGUGGGGAGCAAACAGGAUUAGAUACCCCAGUAGUC